rnacentral:rRNA from 1 species
UACGUAGGGGGGCAAGCGUUGUCCGGAUUUAUUGGGCGUAAAGAGCGUGUAGGCGGCCAGGUAGGUCUGCUGUGAAAAACUCGAGGCUCAACCUCGAGAUGUCGGCGGAAACCAUCUGGCUAGAGUCCGGAAGAGGAGAGUGGAAUUCCUGGUGUAGCGGUGAAAUGCGCAGAUAUCAGGAGGAACACCCGUAGCGAAGGCGGCACUCGUCGGGCGAACUGACGCUGAGGAGCGAAAGCGUGGGGAG